UGGGCGUAAAGCGAGCGCAGGCGGUUUCUUAAGUCUGAUGUGAAAGCCCCCGGCUCAACCGGGGAGGGGCAUUGGAAACUGGGAAACUUGAGUGCAGAAGAGGACAGUGGAACUCCAUGUGUAGCGGUGAAAUGCGUAGAUAUAUGGAGGAACACCAGUGGCGAAGGCGGCUGUCUGGUCUGUAACUGACGCUGAGGCUCG
rnacentral:rRNA from 1 species